rnacentral:lncRNA from 1 species
UACGCUAUGAAAUUAAAACAAUCUCUCACGCUAUCUAUUUAUUUUCAACAAUAAAAUCUCCGAAUUGACAACUGGUCUCGUUGAAUAUGAUCUAUAUCAUUUAAAGUAUCUAUAAAUCGAAUUUUAUGACUUUUCGAUAUGGUUUAUUUUGUACAUCAAGUGGAUACAAAAUAAGUAGCUAAAAAUAAAUAUUCUUUAAAAGAAGAUGAUAGAAUUUUCAUAUUAUGUUGCAGUGUAUGAUAAAAAUCAUGUCAUAAAUACUUUUCAGACC